rnacentral:lncRNA from 1 species
AAUAAAUAUGUUUGCUCUAACAUGCGGCAGUAAUCAAUGAUGAUGCUGUAUUAACUUCCUGGGCACAGGGAAAGAGAAAUGCCAGUAAAAUUUACUAAUUAGAAUUGCCAAAGAAUGAAUGAAAGAAGACAUCUUUAUAAAUGCAAUUUCAUUGAAGGGCACCAAAUCCAAGACUUCUCAUUGUUCCUGGAGCCAGCCCAGGUGAUUCACCAAUCAGCCAGUGGAAGGGGCUCUGUUUUACUGAACUGAGACAAUGUGAGACAAUAAAACCCCAGUGUGAAAAAGGAGGAAGCUCAAGAAACCCACUUCUGGGAAGAAGUGGAGGAACAAGAGUCCUUCCACCACAGCUGAAUGUCUUUCUUCAACUGCUAUUGCUUAAUAAUCUUAGCAUUUACAUUGACCUUUAAAUUGGUCGUUUGGCUGGAGACAGUUUUCUGUGGGGCAGAUUUAGCUAAGAUCUGCCUACUGGUUUAUACUAAAAUCCUGCAUAAUUAUAAAAGCCACAGACCUCACUUUUGGAGUCUUCCAACAUCAACAUUGAAGAACACUCCACCUUCCAAAAAAAAACACAAAACAUGUUUCUGCAUGAAAGGCCACUUUGAGCAAAUGAAAGUAUCUGACAUGCAGCUCUAAAUAGGUCUUUUCACGGGUUAUCCUAUUACAGUAAAUGGAAAUGAGUUAUUCUUUCCUAGGCGUGGGGUGAUAUGUUAAGAGUGGGUUUAAAAACCAUAGUGUGCUGGCCAAAGCCUGAAAGACAGGCAUCUUAGGAAGAUGUUCGUCUGUUAAUUGGCUACUCAAGGAACAGAAGUAGA